UUUGAUGUUCAUAGGUUUUAUUAAACACAUAUUUUAUCAUGAAUUAUUUAAGGAAUUUAACCUGUUAUCACUCUUGACUUUGUUACUAUCCUUGUUUUCUUUUUUUUGGCAGGUUCAGCAAUUGGAACCAAGAUGCUGGCGAGGUCAGAGGGAAUUAGUCCUCCAGUGACGAGGGGAUGACCAUGGACAAAUUGACCACAGGCCUCACAUAAUGGGUCAACCGGAUCUGUAUUUCCACAGUUGUCUCCUCCUGGACCGGGUACCUAUUUAUAGGGAUGAGUUUGCAUAUCCUAGACUGACAGAAAAUUCACAGACAGCCUUCUUGAUGGGACGAAAGAGGCCAACAUCAAGAGGUUGCAAAAUAUGCGUGGUGUGAGGGGGCAAACACAAUAGCUCUAUGUGGUUUUCCCUUGCCAGUUUUAUUGUCUCAACUGACAGAUGGGACUCAUGGUUGUCCAUGGUGAGAAUUAGAGGACGAGCUUUAGGGGCAUACACAAUGAAGACAUUCUCAAACCAUCUUUGAAAUAGAUCUGCAUCGAUGUAUCCAUUUGGAGAAGUGGCAAAGAGCCAGUUUCCAGUACAUACCAUCCCUAUAUGCGCCACUCGGAAAACUCUUUUCAUAUAUCAAGAAAGUGGGCAACACCUGUCCACUGGCGGAUACACACACUGCAGCAGUUGAAUGUGUUGUCAAUGAUGUUUGUCUUGUAAAUGUGUUACCAUUUCCAGUACAAACUUUGUCGUGGGCAAUUAUCCCUUUACCAAAGCCAGUUUCGUCAAAGUUGAAAAUCUGCUCUGGUUUAUUCAGGAGUCCUGAAUGGAAAGAUUACACACCGUAUUUGAAAUAGAAAUGGUGACUGAUGGACUGAUUGACUAUCACCUAUGCAGAAAUUUUAAGGUUUUUAACUUCAUGACUUAGUUCCUUUUACAAAGACCUGUAUUAAUUUACUUUAAAAACAUUUGACUCACAACAUAAGAUAUAUACCUACAGCAUGUGAAAAUUGCCUUACAAUUUAUUAUUUACUGAACUUAGAAUGAGACCAUUAAAAUGUACAAACAUAACUAACCAUGUUUUUUCAUAGUGUUAUGGAGGAGAUCAAAAUAUUGCUUCAUGACAGUUUUAUUUGCCAUCCGAACCCUCCCACCAUCAAUUGUUUGGGGUUUCUUCAUUUUUAAGUCAGGGUGACGUUUCAGAAAGCUUCUGAACCAUUUAUUGCUUGGUCCAUUUUCCCCAAUGGUUGAUGCCCUUCCACUUUUUUUUUUACAAUGCCCCGUACAAAUGUCUUUAUCAUUUUGGUAGUCAACGGCAUGGAGUGUUCCUGUGAUGAUCAGUUUAUAAAUUGAUAUAAUCCUCAAACAAAAUAAAAUGUGUUCAUUAAUUAGGUAAUGUUUGAUAUUUCCCCGCAAUAUUUGUAGCUCUCCAGACUAGCAGGAACGUUAUAUGUUGUCAUAAGGGCUUUAAGAGUUAAUGAUUUCAUGGUAUAUUUAUGUAACCGGGUAAAUACUAGCCGCAAUAUACCACUGGUCUAGAAAGAUCUUCUCUUCAGCUUGAUCGGUUGAGUGUAAUACUAGUAAGCCGGAGGUCCCGGGUUCAAUAACUAGCAGAGGCAGUGAUUUGAAUUUAAUUAUAAUCAUGCUCUCUGUUCUAUUUACUUAAAUUAAUAUUCUGUAUGGAUGUUGCAGCAAAAAUACAUUCUGAAUGGAACAAAUUUGAUUUGUGAAUGUUUUCAUAAGACAGCCAUACCUGGGAGUAUUUAAUGUAUGUCACAAGUGCCAUUUCCUCGUUGUUCGUCAACAUGCGAAUGGGAUGUCUUGUUAACAGUUCUCUUGCAUGCCGUCAUAAUGUUGUAUGUGCAACUCCAUGUAAACCAGCCGCCUUUCGGAAACCUGAUCCUUUUUUAUUUUCUUUUAGGGCAUUUUCCAAGGCUUCAGUAUUGUAAUUUUUGUAUUUCACUGCAAUCCAUGAUAAUCAUAAUUUAACUGAUAUUAUAAUAUGAAUAAAUUGGCUUGCUUAAUGAGGCAUUGUGAGGUUGAUAUUUGUGCUUUUAAUCUGGAAUUUAAGUUGUUGUAUAAUACAUUUAGUCAUUUGCUUGAAAGAAGACUUCUAUAGGCUAAGUUUG